GAUGAAGAACGUAGCGAAAUGCGAUAAGUAAUGUGAAUUGCAGAAUUCAGUGAAUCAUCGAAUCUUUGAACGCACAUUGCGCCCGCCAGUAUUCUGGCGGGCAUGCCUGUUCGAGCGUCAUUUCAACCAUCAGGCCCCCGGCUUGUGUUGGGGACCUGCGGCUGCCGCAGGCCCUGAAAAGCAGUGGCGGGCUCGCUGUCACACCGAGCGUAGUAGCAUACAUCUCGCUCUGGGCGUGCUGCGGGUUCCGGCCGUUAAACCACCUUCAUAACCCAAGGUUGACCUCGGAUCAGGUAGGAAGACCCGCUGAACUUAAGCAUAUCAAUAAGCGGAGGA
rnacentral:misc_RNA from 1 species